GUGGAUCGACAUUAGGAUGAUUCAUUAGCCUUCUGAAUACGAAGUCCUGUGGUGCCCAUAAUAGGGCCGGGCAAUACGAAGUCCUGUGGUGCCCAUAAUAGGGCCGGGCAAUAACUCCGAGUACGAAGUCCUGUGGUGCCCAUAAUAGGGCCGGGCAAUACGAAGUCCUGUGGUGCCCAUAAUAGGGCCGGACAUGGAGUUGAGGGAUUUUUGAAUCAGUCCACCCGUGGUGUGAUUUGUUUGUGCAGUGGCGCAUUUCAUGAU
rnacentral:lncRNA from 1 species